CAAGUACUCCCUCCGUCCGGAAUUACUUGUCAUCAAAAUGGAUGUGUCUAGAACUAAAAUACAUCUAGAUACAUCCAUUUCAAUGACAAGUAUUUCCAGACGGAGGGAGUAAAAG
rnacentral:pre_miRNA from 1 species